CAGUAGCCGCGGGAAUACGAAGGGUGCAAGCGUUAAUCGGAAUUACUGGGCGUAAAGCGUGCGCAGGCGGUGUUGUAAGACUGAUGUGAAAUCCCCGGGCUCAACCUGGGAACUGCAUUGGUGACUGCAACGCUGGAGUGCGGCAGAGGGGGAUGGAAUUCCGCGUGUAGCAGUGAAAUGCGUAGAUAUGCGGAGGAACACCGAUGGCGAAGGCAAUCCCCUGGGCCUGCACUGACGCUCAUGCACGAAAGCGUGGGGAGCAAACAGGAUUAGAUACCCCCGUAGUCCCUGUCUCUUAUAC
rnacentral:rRNA from 1 species